UACGGGGGGAGCAAGCGUUGUUCGGAUUUACUGGGCGUAAAGGGCGCGUAGGCGGCCACCGCAAGUCGGUUGUGAAAUCUCCGGGCUUAACCCGGAAAGGUCAAUCGAUACUGCGGGGCUAGAGUGCAGAAGGGGCAACUGGAAUUCUCGGUGUAGCGGUGAAAUGCGUAGAUAUCGAGAGGAACACCUGCGGCGAAGGCGGGUUGCUGGGCUGACACUGAUGCUGAAGCGCGAAAGCUAGGGGAGCGAACGGG
rnacentral:rRNA from 1 species